UAUGGCCAUAUCACGAUGAAACACCGGUUCCCGUACGAUCACCAAAGUUAAGUAACGUCGAGCCUGGUGAGUACUUAGAUGGGCGUCCGCUUGAGAAUAUCAGGUGCUGUAAG